rnacentral:lncRNA from 10 species
GAGGCAAGAGAAUCACUUGAGCCGGGAGGCAGAGGUUGUAGUGAGCUGAGAUUGCACCACUUCACUCCAUCCUGGGCGACAGAGUAAGACUCCGUCUCAAGAAAAACCAAAAACCAAAACAAAACCAAUAAAGUAUCAAUACUGAAUCAUCAAUUGUGAAAGAUGUACCAUACUAACAUGUUAAUAACACAGGAAACUGAGUGUGAGGCAUAUAGGAACUCUCUACCUAUCUGUGUAAUAGCUCUAUAAAUCUAAAGCUAUUCUAAAAUUUAAAAGUUUAUUUUUAAAAAGGUUAUCUCUCUCGCAGGGUUGUGAAGAUUAAAAUGCAAGGAAAAUGCUUAGCACAGUCCCUAGCAGGUGGUAAGUGUUCAGUGCAUGGCAACUCAGUUAUUAUUAGGUACCAGAGAGGAGAGACACUGCAGUUGGCAAUGCACCGGAGAGUGUAUGAAUAUAUGAAUUACGACUCUAAUUCCCAGUUCUGGCCACAGCCCCUUGUCAACAGAUAGCACACAAGAGCCGCUCACCUCCUGGAGAGGGCCACCACAUUGGGUUGCCUAAUUUGCAUCUCUGUAAAAACCUACAGAUCAAUGGGUGGGUGGCGGUAGCAGUGCCAGCUGAUGCACUAAUCAUAGCAAAGAUUGACAUAUUAGGGCUCGCUGAUUUGUGCAGAGCCAAUCAGAGCAGAGUGUGCACAGCAGCAGCCCCCAAGGGAAAGGAGUUCCUCCCACAGAGCUUUCCUAGCUGCAUGGCGAUGUCACUGGCUCCCCUGCAGGGCUGCACGCUGCCUCUCUGGUUAAAGAUGGAAACUGGAUCUUGUGCUCCAACUUGAUCCCUUGCACCAGCCAAUGAUGAGAUUCCUCAUGCCAGCCACCCCCUUUGUACCAGCCACCAGCCAGGAUGAGAGACCGCCCCUAUCUACCAGGUCACAUGGUUUACUCUAGGGCUCAAAUACCUGUGGCAUUGACUCAGUCCUUGCCCCAGUGGGCCUCUAUCAUCUGGACAUAGACCAGAAAGAGCAGUGGGCAGUCAACUGGCUUUGGAGAAAUGUAAGUUAUGGAGAAACAAAUCCAGGGGUAAGAAAUCCAAUACUCAGUGUGUUAUUUCGCAUACUUGGGUUGCAAGUGAUAGAAACCCAACUCAGCUAAGUUGGGAUGGGGUGGGGUGAGGGAUGUGACAUUUAUUAGGAAGACAGAGAGAUUAGCUCACACAUCCAGACCUCAGGAAGGCAGAGUUGGGGCUUCCAGGGACCACCCACCAGAACCCGCACUCCAGUAUUGUGAAGAAACCCCCUGUGGGUUUCUUGUUUUCCCUCCUUGCUCUCAAGGCUCCUUCCCCUGGGCAGCUGGAACCGUGGCACAGACAGCUCCCAGAUCCACUAUUACCCCAGCUUCACCAACAGAGAGGGAAAAGGCACUACUCACCUCCCUCCUCUUGCCAAGCUUCAUUUAAAAAAAAAAAAAAAAUCCAGGAAGGACACUGAUUGGUCCAUCUUGACUCACAUGCUCUCUUCUAAACCAAUCAGGUCCAGGGCAGCAGUGUCAUGGAAGUUGUUUGCUCAAUUCAGAACACAGGCUAGCAUUAGGACAGUCCAGGGACAGAAACCACUGUAGUUAUUUAAACACAGAAAGCCUAAUAUAAAGAAUCUCGAAUUAUAUGUAAAAUAGUGAAUCGAGUGACUGAAAAGGUAAAAAGAGAACUCGAAUGGGUGGCAGAGUUAACAGCUGCCUGAGACAGCUGCUAACCCCAGGGCUGGAGGGAAAAAGGGAAGAGGUUGGAAUAGUUAAAAGUUAGAAAUUUAAAGGAGGGGACCCAGGUUUUUGAGAAAGAGGUGCCAGAGGCGCCAGCUGGUUCGUAUCUCUGACGGGAAUGCAAUAAAGCUGAUUCAACAAGAGGUAGGAAAACUGCAAAUUGAAUUCAGUUGCCGCCAUAGGACUGCACUAUCGCAGAGGGUCAAACAAACCUGCUACAUCCAUACAAUGGACCAUGAUUCAACAACCAAAAGGGGCCAGGCACGGUUGAUGGCUCACACCUGUAAUCCCAGUGUGUCCGGAAUUGGUGGGUUCUUGGUCUCACUAACUUCAAGAAUGAAGCCGCCUACCCUCGAGGGGAAAACACACCUAACAUGGCAAGAUUCAUUGGCUACAGUUCAGCGAAACAUUUUUGGAUCCUUUAGGAGGAAAAAUCUUACAUAAACUGCACUUUAAGAAUAAGGUUGUGCAGGAUCUGGAUUAAAAAAAAGAAUAAGGAAGAAGUUUUAUGGGACCUAAAUUUCACGUCAACAGCCCUUUGAAUCUCUGGCUCUACGAGGAAUGCAACUAAUCCAGGGAAUGCCUUUCUUUGAAGAUGUUUUAUGCCACUGUGACCCCAGAGGAAAGAUAGAUAGCAAAUUAUUUGGACUCUGAUGCAAAAGGCAUAUAAUCUGUAUCCUGCUGGUUCUGGUUCUUACUAAUAAAUAGUUAAAAUGAUGCAUUAAAGGAUUAUAAGUGAUUUAAUCAAGAAUAUGUCUAUUCUCAUUGUAAAUUAGCUUGCAUUUUCUGUAUUAUAUGUGAAAUCACUGAGUUAGUACACACUGCAAAUAUACCAAACAAGUUUGUACCUGCCUUUGAUGACCAUAAUCCAAAUGUUCUUUCCAUUUUCUGUAUUGUAGUUUAGUCUGUGAUUGAACAUUUUUAUCCUACAUGUUCUAUCUAAUAUUGUUAAUAUGUAACAUCGAGAUAAAUUCAGAAGACAAACUACAACCCUUGCACUAAGAAAAGUGUGAAACAGACCAUGUUUUAACAUGAAGUAUGAUGUACGCUUUUGAUCUAUUGC